rnacentral:rRNA from 1 species
UCGAUUAGUUUGAUCAUGGCUCAGGACGAACGCUGGCGGCGUGCUUAACACAUGCAAGUCGAGCGGUAAGGCUCCUUCGGGAGUACACGAGCGGCGAACGGGUGAGUAACACGUGAGCAAUCUGCCCUUCACACUGGGAUACCCCCCGGAAACGGGUGCUAAUACCAGAUACAACCACUUCAGGCAUCUGAUGGUGGUGGAAAGUUCUGGCGGUGAAGGAUGAGCUCGCGGCCUAUCAGCUUGUUGGUGAGGUAAUGGCUCACCAAGGCUUCGACGGGUAGCCGGCCUGAGAGGGUGACCGGCCACACUGGGACUGAGACACGGCCCAGACUCCUACGGGAGGCAGCAGUGGGGAAUAUUGGACAAUGGGCGAAAGCCUGAUCCAGCAACGCCGCGUGAGGGAUGACGGCCUUCGGGUUGUAAACCUCUUUCAGCGGGGACGAAGCGAAAGUGACGGUACCUGCAGAAGAAGCACCGGCCAACUACGUGCCAGCAGCCGCGGUAAUACGUAGGGUGCGAGCGUUGUCCGGAAUUAUUGGGCGUAAAGGGCUCGUAGGCGGUUUGUCACGUCGGGAGUGAAAACUCAGGGCUUAACCCUGAGCCUGCUUCCGAUACGGGCAGACUAGAGGUAUGCAGGGGAGAACGGAAUUCCUGGUGUAGCGGUGAAAUGCGCAGAUAUCAGGGGGAACACCGGUGGCGAAGGCGGUUCUCUGGGCAUUACCUGACGCUGAGGAGCGAAAGUGUGGGGAGCGAACAGGAUUAGAUACCCUGGUAGUCCACACCGUAAACGUUGGGCGCUAGGUG